rnacentral:rRNA from 1 species
GAUGAACGCUGGCGGCGUGCCUAAUACAUGCAAGUCGAGCGAACGGACGAGAAGCUUGCUUCUCUGAUGUUAGCGGCGGACGGGUGAGUAACACGUGGAUAACCUACCUAUAAGACUGGGAUAACUUCGGGAAACCGGAGCUAAUACCGGAUAAUAUUUUGAACCGCAUGGUUCAAAAGUGAAAGACGGUCUUGCUGUCACUUAUAGAUGGAUCCGCGCUGCAUUAGCUAGUUGGUAAGGUAACGGCUUACCAAGGCAACGAUGCAUAGCCGACCUGAGAGGGUGAUCGGCCACACUGGAACUGAGACACGGUCCAGACUCCUACGGGAGGCAGCAGUAGGGAAUCUUCCGCAAUGGGCGAAAGCCUGACGGAGCAACGCCGCGUGAGUGAUGAAGGUCUUCGGAUCGUAAAACUCUGUUAUUAGGGAAGAACAUAUGUGUAAGUAACUGUGCACAUCUUGACGGUACCUAAUCAGAAAGCCACGGCUAACUACGUGCCAGCAGCCGCGGUAAUACGUAGGUGGCAAGCGUUAUCCGGAAUUAUUGGGCGUAAAGCGCGCGUAGGCGGUUUUUUAAGUCUGAUGUGAAAGCCCACGGCUCAACCGUGGAGGGUCAUUGGAAACUGGAAAACUUGAGUGCAGAAGAGGAAAGUGGAAUUCCAUGUGUAGCGGUGAAAUGCGCAGAGAUAUGGAGGAACACCAGUGGCGAAGGCGACUUUCUGGUCUGUAACUGACGCUGAUGUGCGAAAGCGUGGGGAUCAAACAGGAUUAGAUACCCUGGUAGUCCACGCCGUAAACGAUGAGUGCUAAGUGUUAGGGGGUUUCCGCCCCUUAGUGCUGCAGCUAACGCAUUAAGCACUCCGCCUGGGGAGUACGACCGCAAGGUUGAAACUCAAAGGAAUUGACGGGGACCCGCACAAGCGGUGGAGCAUGUGGUUUAAUUCGAAGCAACGCGAAGAACCUUACCAAAUCUUGACAUCCUUUGACAACUCUAGAGAUAGAGCCUUCCCCUUCGGGGGACAAAGUGACAGGUGGUGCAUGGUUGUCGUCAGCUCGUGUCGUGAGAUGUUGGGUUAAGUCCCGCAACGAGCGCAACCCUUAAGCUUAGUUGCCAUCAUUAAGUUGGGCACUCUAAGUUGACUGCCGGUGACAAACCGGAGGAAGGUGGGGAUGACGUCAAAUCAUCAUGCCCCUUAUGACUUGGGCUACACACGUGCUACAAUGGACAAUACAAAGGGCAGCGAAACCGCGAGGUCAAGCAAAUCCCAUAAAGUUGUUCUCAGCUCGGAUUGUAGUCUGCAACUCGACUACAUGAAGCUGGAAUCGCUAGUAAUCGUAGAUCAGCAUGCUACGGUGAAUACGUUCCCGGGUCU